CCUUGUACACACCGCCCGUCAAGCCGCGAAAGUGAGGGGCGUCCGAAGUCGCCGCGCCAACCGCAAGGGGGGCAAGCGCCGAAGACGAAACUCACGAUUGGGACU
rnacentral:rRNA from 1 species